UGCGGCUGUGUCUACGCCGGUGAUUUCUUUACCGGAGUGGUCUGGGUUGGGUUCUGGGUCUACGCAUCCGGUGGUGACUGUAGCUGCAAAGCCGGUGUCUUCUCCGGUGAUCCCUACAUCACCUGAGAUUCUUCCUGUGUUGGCUCCGCCCAUAUGUAACUUAACCCUAAAUCCCUAAUAUCCUUCCUCAUUCCUCACAUUUUCUGAUUUUCAGCUUUUCUCUCCUUUCACACAAGCCGACGCCGUGCCCGUGCCUCUCCCCUCUCCAGACCAAGCGGCCAGCGCCUCUCACCCUCACUUGUCUCUCAGUCCACUCUCCAGACCAAGCGCCGCUCCUCUCUCACUCUCGCCGGCGGAGGAUCUCGGCGGAGAACCAUACCGCUCCUCUCUCUCUCUCUCUCUCUCACAGUCGUGCCGAUCUCAAGGCUAGAGUCCCUGGAGAAACCGGGCUGCAAGGUGUGAUUCAAAGUACUGGGAUAUUGUGUUUUUGUGGCAAAUGCAGAAGGAGGUGUUUUUAUGUUGGCUGUAGGUUGUUCUGUGUUGUUCGAGCUGCAUGUGGAAAGUGCAAGAACUAUUUACUAGCGUAUAUUUUCCUGGAGAAGGAGAACAUUCUUUGUACUGUCAUGAAUGCAUGUGUAAAUGCUUUGUUGGAUUGCUAGAAGAGUUUGUCUGAAAUUCUAUGGUUGUUCCUCUUCAAAGAAAUCUACCGCAUCAUUCUGAAUUGCAGAGGACAUCUACCUGAAACAUACAAUGGGAAUUUGAUGCAACUGUGAACUGAUAUGUUGGAUUUUCUUUUCUGAGUAGUAAUAUUAUGUUGUGGGCAAAAAUUGUUGGUCUCAUCUCUUGUGCUUACUGCAACUGCAAGGUAAAUUUUUUUCUGCUUGAGAUUGAUUUUAUUUACAUUUACUGAGCAUGUGAGCCACUCAGAGUCAGAAACUCAUGCUAAUUGGGUAUCAUAUAUAAGUGUUUCAAAUCAUUUGGGUGGUUGAGGUCCUACAAUUGAUGUCCAAAGUCAAUUGGCAAGACCUUUGUGGACCAGGUCCACCCAAAGUCUAGAAAGGAAUUUCGAAAUUUGACAAGAAACAGAUUGUCUUAGCUUUCCACUUUAGCUUCUUUCUUAAUGUAAUUGAAACUUAAGGGCCUUCCAGUGAUUACUCCUUGUUACAUGUUUUGUGAUUGACUAGUUUCCUGUGAUAAAACUGUGGGCCAUAUUUGCUCGCUACUAUGUAUCAAUAAUUUUAUUCUUUUUACU